rfam:Tenacibaculum soleae strain TCD-KL19 scaffold_1, whole genome shotgun sequence.
GCCGAUGUAGCUCAGCUGGCUAGAGCAGCUGAUUUGUAAUCAGCAGGUCGGAGGUUCGAGUCCUCUCAUCGGCU